CAUGUCCUUUUGAAUUUAAUUUAAGGUCUAAUCUGCUCAAUGAUUUUUAAAUAGCCGCAGUAUUUUAACUGUGCAAAGGUAGCAUAAUAAUUAGUUUCUUAAUUAGGAACUGGAAUGAAUGAUUGGACAAGAAAGUUACUGUCUCUUUUUUAAAUUUUUUGAAUUUUAUUUUUAAGUGAAAAAGCUUAAAUUUUUAUAAAAGACGAGAAGACCCUAUAGAGUUUAAUAUUAUUAUUCAAUUUAAAUUUAGAAUUAUUUUUUGUUUAAUUUUAUUUGGUUGGGGUGAUUUAAAGAUUAAUUAAAUUCUUUAAUUAUUUAAUUGGUGAUGUCUAAAUUUUAAAUCUAUAUUUUAUAAAUAUAAAAUAAAUUACCUUAGGGAUAACAGCGUAAUUUUUCUUUAAAGUUCAUAUUAAAAGGAAAGUUUGCGACCUCGAUGUUGGAUUAAAAUUAAUUUUUGGUGCAAUAACUUAAAAAUUGGGUCUGUUCGACCUUUAAAAUUUUACAUGAUCUGAGUUUAAACCGGUGUGAGCCAGGUUGGAUUCUAUCUUUAGAAUGUUAAUAUAUUUUAGUACGAAAGGACCAGAUAUAUAUUAAAUUAAUU
rnacentral:rRNA from 1 species